AUCUCCUACAAAUUCCUAUUUUGCAUAUUUGACAUAACCAUGAUAAUAUGUUAUCAUGGCUGCUUUUUUCCCUAAAAAGAGUGUAGAAAUGAAUUGACAUAUAGUGUUAAAAUUGUAAUUUGAAAGUAUUAAGGUGUAUAAUUCAUCAAGUAUUUGUGACUAAGGGGGAAAAAAGCAAGGGUAUACUCAUUUCUCAUAUGAGAUUAUGAAUGUAUGAGUAUAUGAGUGUAUCUGCUAAGUGUUCACGCAUUUCAACAGGGAAGAAAAGAAAAAGGAAAACAACACAACAUAAAGAUAGGAAGAAACAAAUUUAUGUUUCUAAUAACAUCGCUUUCUAUUUUAAAAAAAUCCUCCCAAAUCUGUGACAUUCCAGUAGUAAAAAAGCUUAUUAGUUUUAAGUAUACAAAGUCAUUUCAAAAACUGAAGAGGCUAGAGAGAUUGUACAAGAGCAUUUCUGCUCUUCCAGAUAACUCAACUUCUAUUAGCACCACUAAAACUGGGAGGCAAACUCCCACAUAUAAAACCAGAUACCAGAUAUCAGAUACCAUCAAAAAGAAAAAGAAAAAAGAAAAGGCUAUUUUACGUUUAGCACUGUAAAACACUAAUAUGUAGAAACAAAUCCAAUCUGUACCUUUCCUUGUGGUUUGUGUCUUCAGCUCAGGGCAUGUUUACAUGGAUGCAAUAUAAAGUAGUUUAGGAAGUUGCAAAAGAUCAAGGUGGAAAGGAAGAAGUUCCUGAUACAGCAUCCAGAAGAGUAGAAGAGAUCACUUGAUGUGUACUGGAACAAGGAGAAGGAUGGGGCAGUUCCCAUCAGUGACAUGACCACAGCUUGCAGCCGGGGCUGGGAAUCUUCGCAGGAGAACGGAUUCCCCUAACAGGGAUUCCGGGAGUCGGAAGCAGGGUCCCUCACCUGGACAUCAAGGAGAACGGGCCAAUUCCCGUGGGCGACGUGUCCACAAUGCUAUAGCCAGAGAAUUCGUAACGUAGCGGAAGGACAGAUACCCUUGAAAGGGCUUCCGGGAGUCUUCUGUGGGGUCCCUCACCACCCACAGGGUCACCUUGGAGAACGGGCCAAUUCCCAUGGGCGAUGUGUCCACAAUGCUGCAGCCAUAGAAUGUGUAACAUAGAGGAAGGACGGAUACCCUUGAAAGGACUUCCUGGAGUCUUCUGCAGGAUCACUCACCACCCGCAGGGUCACCUAGAAGAACGUGCUAAUUCCCGUGGGCAACAUUUCCGCAAUGGUGCACUCAGAGAAUGUGUAACGUAGCGGAAGGACGGAUACCCAGGAAAGGGCUUCUGGGAGUCUUCUGCAUGAUCCCUCACCACCCGCAGGGUCACCAAAGUGAACGGGCCAAUUCCCGUGGGCGACGUGUCCACAAUGCUGCAGCCAGAGAAUGAUUAAUCAUAGUGGAAGGAUGGAUAGCCUUGAAAGGGCUUCAUGGAGUCUUCUGCAGGAUCCCUCACAACCCGCAGGGUCACCUGGGAGAACGGGCCUAUUCCCGUGGGUGACGUGUCCACAAUGCUGCAGCCAGAGAAUGUGUAACUUAGCGGAAGGACGGAUACCCUUGAAAGGGCUUCCGGGAGUCUUCUACAGGGUCCCUCACCACCCACAGGCUCACCUAGGACAACAGGCCAAUUCCCGUGGGCAACGUGUCCACAAUGGUGCAGCCAGAGAAUGUGUAAGGUAGCGGAAGGACGUAUACUCUUGAAAGGUCUUCCAGGAAUCUUCUGUAGGAUCCCUCACCACCUGCAGGUUCACGAAGGAGAACGGCCCAAUUCCCGUGGGCAACGUGUCCACAAUGGUGCAGCCAGAGAAUGUGGAAGGUAGCGGAAGGACAUAUACCCUUGAAAGGUCUUCCAGGAGUUUUCGGCAGGAUCCCUCACCACCCGCAAGAUCACGGAGAACGGACCAAUUCCCGUGGGCAACGUGUCCACAAUGGUGCAGCCAGAGAAUGUGUAACAUAGCGGAAGGACGGAUACCCUUGAAAGGUCUUCUGGGAGUCUUCGGCAGGAUCCCUCACCACCCGCAGUGUCACCAAGGAGAACGGGCCAAUUCCCGUGGGCGACCAGUCCGCAAUGGUGCAGCCUGAGAAUGUGUAACGUAGCAGAAGGAUGGAUACACUUGAACGGGCUUCCAGGAGUCUUCUGCAGGAUCCCUCACCACCCGCAGCGUCACCUAGGAGAACGGGCCAAUUCCCGUGGGCGACAUGUCCACAAUGCUGCAUCCAGAGAAUUCAUAACGUAGCGGAAGGACAGAUACACUUGAAAGGGCUUCUGGGAGUCUUCAGCAUCGUCCCUCACCACCCACACGGUCACCUAGGAGAAAGGGCCAAUUCCCGUUUGUGCCUUGCCCACAAUGCUGCAGCCACAAAAUACAUAACAUAGCGGAAGGAUGGAUACCCAUGAAAGGGCUUCCGGGAGUCUUCUGCAGUGUCGCUCACCACCCACAGGGUCACAUAGAAGAACGGUCCAGCACGUUGUGUCAUUGAGUGCUCCACGGGGUCACUCCCACCUUCCUCACCCUGGGUCUCAACAACCAAUCAGCGGUCCUGUCGUGCCUGUGCCUUUCUGGUCUCCCUUCCCUGGGCCCAGGGCCAAUUCCCAUAGGCGACGUGUCCACAAUGCUGCAGUCAGAGAAUGCGUAAUGUAUCGGAAGGAUAGAUACCCCUGAAAGGGCUUCCGGGAGUCUUCUGCAGGGUCCCUCACCUCCCACAGGGUCACCUAGGAGAACGGGCCACUUCUGUGGGAUCCUUGCCCACAAUGCUGCAGCCAGAGAAUGUGUAACAUGAUGGAUGGAUACCCUUGAUAGGGCUUCCGGGAGUCUUCUGCAGUGUCCCUCACCACCCACAGGGUCACAUAGGAGAAUGGGCCAAUUCCUGUUGGUGUCAUGCCCACAAUGCUGCAGCCAGAGAAUGUGUAACGUAGCGCCAGGACAGAUACCCUUGUAAGGGCUUCCGGGAGUCUUCUGCAGCAUCCCUCACCACCCACAGGGUCACCUAGGAGGACGGGCCAGUUCCUGUGGGCAUCGUGCUCACAAUGUUCCAGCCAGAGACUGCGGAUCCUAGCGGAAUGGUGGAUGCCCCUUAAAGGGCUUCGGGGAGUCUUGCGCCGGGUCCCCGCCUCCCACAGUGUCACCGAGGGGGAACGGGGCAGUUCCUGUGGGUGGCAUGCCCACAGCAGUGCAGCCAGUUUCUGGGAAUCAUCGUGGAAGGGUGGAUGCCCCUGGCAGGGCGUCCGGGAGUCUGGCCCAGGAUCCCUCACCACCCACCGGGUCACUGAGGAGAAAGGGUAUUUUUGUUUUGCUUCAUUCCUUUAGCCAUGAUGGUAUUGUGAUUCUUUGUGGAGAUGGAGAAGGAGAUGAGGAGGUAGAAGAACGUGCUCCCUUUUUAAGCAUAUCCUGGAGCAACAUGUUCAGUAUUACUUUUUCUGAGAUGUUGCCCACUCUAUAAUCUUGGUAUGCAUGCAAGAACUUUCAUGUCCAGGAACCUGAAUAUUUGGCCAUGUUCCACAUCUAUAUUGCUAUGGCAGGAUGUGUUAAUAUCUACCUCUACUCUGAACUUGAGGCUUUGGUGGAAAAGAGAACCAGAUACAGAUGCGAAAAGCUGCUGCCUGAUUUUGUUUUUUCUGGAAUAGAUCUAUUUAUAUUACGGGCAGUGUGCAUGGGAGUCAUGCUCGACAAGAAGUGCUACUGUUUUCAUGAGCAGCAGAGACAGGUGAUAGCUCUGAAAGCAAUGUGACUUGAGGGUGGCUCAAUCUACCAAUGGAAUGCCAAGCAAGGAUGAUGAUGAAUGUUGAUAGAGUCCAAAAUGAAAGGGAAGUUUAUGCCCUGGUCCUAACUAUAAAAUGUUGAUUCUACUGAAUGAUUUGACAACCUUCUUCCAAAGUCUUCAUUCUUAUCUGCAGUGUUGGACUUCUGCAAGAAUAUGACUGACUGGGGACCUCUUCAGAGAGUGACUGAUGGCAGGAAUUUUCUCCAAACCAAGAGCUUUUCACUAGAUAUCCAAGAGCCAGCUUAUGAUGAUGAUGCCUACAGCGAUGAGCUGGAUUUAUUAUGGAUGGUGCCAUCAUUUCUACCAGCAGCUUCACCAGCACAGCCUUCUUCUUUCCUGUAUGGCAGUGGACACCUCCUGCAGAUAAGAAAUACUUAACUGAGAAAUGCUCGUGUUGGGCUGUCAUCGAUGAGACUUUAAUUUGGGCAUGGUUUUCCCUUGCUGCCACUUGACUCAAUCCAAGGAGCCUCAGUAGAGGAAAUAAUAUUAUACAAGAAGCUCAAAAUGGUGGAAUUGCUCAGUCAGUGCUCCUAUAAAUACACAUUUAUAAUUUUUAUUCGCCAUAUGAUCCUUUUUAAAUAUGACAUAUUGAAAAGAAACUGCAUGAAUUUUUUUCAAAAAUUCAAAGCAUAUUUAAAUAAUUAAUAUAUAAAUUAUGUGCCUCCUCUAUUUCAAGAUUAUAUCCCAAAAGUUUCCCUUCUCUAAAGGGAGGCAUGUACAUUUUUUGCACCCAUGUACACUCUAUUCUGGGGAGCAGUUCUAAAAUUGGGGCCAUAUUGUAACAUAUUCUUCUGAAAAUUGCUGCUUUCUUUUAAGAGUCUUAUCAAUGAGCCUUUUCUCUUUCAGUAAUACAUUCAUAUCUGUGUCAUUUGUUGAAUGACUGCAUGAGAGUUUUGUAGAUGGAAUAUAAUUCAGUGUCAUUUGUUGAAUGACUGCAUGAGAGUUUUGUAGAUGGAAUAUAAUUCAGUGUCAUUUGUUGAAUGACUGCAUGAGAGUUUUGUAGAUGGAAUAUAAUUCAGUGUUUUAAGCAUUUCUCAUUAAUAGGCAUUUGUGUUAGUACCAAAUUUCUGUACAAUGAACUUCCCUAUAUAUCAACAAUUCUGCAUUUGUCUAUUCUAUUUUAAUAAAAUUACCUAGCACUUAAAUUAUUGGAAUUAAGCAUAUUAACACUUCAAAUUUUGAAAAUCAUCACGAUUCCUUUUAAAAUGUGCUUUAACAGCCACAUCCUCGAUAGCAAUGAAUCAGAUUGCCAAUUUCUUCACAGUCCCCAUAUGAGUUUUACAAGUAUUUGAAAUUCUUUCCAAUGUGAUACCCCAAACUAUUGUCUUAAAUUGUAUUUUUUAUUUUGAUCAUUUUUCAUGUUUAUUAGCCAUCUGUAUUUUUUAAUUUCGUCUUCAUGUCCAAUUUUGGGAAUAUGGGGAGGCUUUAGUCCUUUUAAAGACCAUGUUUACAAUUGUGGAAAAAUAAGCUUUUGUAUUAUCAAGCAUUACAUAUGUUUUAAACUUCGUUUUUGUUAUAAGAAUGUGUAUGAUUGUUAUAUGUCCAAGUUUAACCAUGUUUGCUUUUAUGGCUUCUGAAUUUCAUGUCAUUUUUGGAGAAAAAUUAUACUGAGUCCAUAAAACCCUUCACCUAUGUUAACUCUUAAUUCUUUUGUGUUUUUUUAUUCAAAUUCGUAUAUCAUUAGAAAAUUUUGUUUUGAAGUCUUAAAGUUGCCAAGUUAUUUGCCAUUACUUAUGAUUAUUUGCCAACAAUUGCCCAUUUCUCUGUAAUACCAUCUUGCACAUAUGCUGUAUUCUCAUCCGUGACUGGCUCCAUUUGUUCUGUGGAUAUGUGUGUCUCUUCUGCCUCCUGUCUCAUGUGUUGUCUUAUUUGAAGAAAUUACAGUUUAGACUGCAAUUUCAUGUGCUUUAAUAAAUUAAUUUGGGGAGAAUUGUUUUUAGGUAAUAAGUUUUCAUAAUCAAUAAUAAGGCAUACUAUUUUAUUAAAAAUUAA